GGCCGCCUGGUGAAAUGGCAUCACGUCUGACUACGAUCCGGUCUGCUCACAGGUUCAGAUGUCGUAUCAGGAGGAUGCAAAUCCGACCCCUGCGUUGGUCA